rnacentral:lncRNA from 1 species
CUCCACCUAUGCACAAGGGUGAUGUGCAUCAAGACUAAUUUUAUAGAAUUCUUCUCAACAAAUUCCUCUCAACUUCUUGCAAAUAGCCAACUCUUUGCAGAGAGUCAAGACUCAUCUUUUACAUUUUAUUCUGCAGAAAGCCUCCUGUGAUGGUUAAUAUUGAGUGUUAACUUGAUUCGGCUGAAAGUAUGCAAAGUAUUGUUCCUGAGUAUGUCUGUGAGGGUGUUGUCAAAGGAGAUUAACAUUUGAGUCAGUGGACUGAGAGAGGCAGACCCACCAUUAAUCUGGGUGGGCACCAUCCCCUUGGCUGCCAGCGUGGUUACAAAAAGCAGACAGAAGAAAGUGGAAUGAGCAGACUUGCUGAGUCUUCUGGCCUUCAUCUUUCUCCUGUGCUGGAUGCUUCCUGACCUGGAACAUCAGACUCCAAGUUCUUCAGCUUCUGGACUCUCGGACUUACACCAGUGAUUUGCCAGGGCAUCUUGGGCUCUUGGGCCUUCAGCCACAGACAGAAGGCUGCACUGUCAGCUUCCCUACUUUUGAGGUUUUGGGACUCAGACUGGCUUCCUUGCUCCUCAGCUUGCAGAUGGCCUAUUGUGGAAUUUCACCUUAUGAUCG